AUGAGCUCACUGGUUCUACUGCUGGCCACCCUGGGGCUCCUGGUUCAGGGUUCAUCAGGACAAAUCACCCUGACUCAGUCUCCUGAAUCUCAGUCUGUUGUUCCAGGACAGACUGUCUCCAUCAGAUGUAAAACCAGUUCAGAUGUUUUUAGCUAUCUCCACUGGUACCUUCAGAAACCUGGAGAAGCUCCUAAACUCCUGAUUCAUGAAGCUACAAGCCGUCAGUCUGGAGUUCCAGGUCGUUUCAGUGGAAGUGGAUCUGGGACUGACUUCACUCUGACCAUCAGUGGAGUUCAGGCUGAAGAUUCAGGAGUUUACUACUGUCAGCAGGGUUUCAGCCCGUUCACACAGUGAUACAACGUCGUACAAAAACCUCCCUCAGCUGGAGAGGAACUGAUCUGAAUCAAUAGCUGCACUCAAACUAAGACCACAACAAGAUAUGAACACAAUAUGUGUGAUAAUUACAGUAUUUUAAAACAAUGUUUCAUUUAAUCAAAUGUAUUUUCCUUGACAACAUUUUUAGGCGAUGGUUUAAUGAUUAACCUCCUCUGAGUUUGAGUCAACUGACGUCACCUCUUUCAUUCGUCAGGUUUCCAAACUGACGUCCAUAAUUAAUCACUGAGACAUAAAACUACAUUCAGAAAGCCAAAAAAACAGAAGCUGAUACUUUUACUGUGCAUGCGGACUGUCUCUUCAUCAGAGGCUUUACUAAUGAUAAAAUGAUGUUCUUCUAAAAUCAUAAUUUCAGGUGUGGAAACACAAACAGCAAUUCUUCCCCUGAAUGUGAUCCCUGCAUCCUUUUCAUCCUCACAGCAUCUGAGUGUUGGGCAAACUGCUGUCUCUCAAGAAAAGCUGAUUUAUGACAACCUGUGAGAAAACCUGUCUCUCACCAGAAGAGGUACGAAACAUCACCAUUAUUAAUCAGUGUGAGGUUUCUUUUUCGCUUAAAGUUUAAAUCAACAU